UACGUAGGCAGCAAGCGUUGUUCGGAAUUACUGGGCGUAAAGAGUGCGUAGGCGGUUUUGCAAGUUUGGUGUGAAAUCUCCCGGCUUAACUGGGAGGGUGCGCCGAAAACUGCAAGGCUGGAGUAUGGGAGAGGUAGGCGGAAUUCCUGGUGUAGCGGUGAAAUGCGUAGAUAUCAGGAGGAACACCGGUGGUGUAGACGGCUUACUGGACCAUAACUGACGCUGAGGCACGAAAGCGUGGGGAGCAAACAGG
rnacentral:rRNA from 1 species